GCUGCGGUGGCCUAGUAGGUUAGGGCGCCAGACUCAUAGGGUUUUUGAGCAAAAGGAACGGGGCGUCUCUGAUCUGAGACAUCUGGAGAUCGUGGGUUCGGAUCCCACCCGCAGCA
rnacentral:tRNA from 1 species